CGAAAGCCUGACGGAGCAACGCCGCGUGAGGGAUGAAGGCCUCUGGGCUGUAAACCUCUUUUAUCAAGGAAGAAGAUCUGACGGUACUUGAUGAAUAAGCCACGGCUAAUUCCGUGCCAGCAGCCGCGGUAAUACGGGAGUGGCAAGCGUUAUCCGGAAUUAUUGGGCGUAAAGCGUCCGCAGGCGGCCUUUUAAGUCUGUUGUCAAAGCGUGGAGCUUAACUCCAUUUCGGCAAUGGAAACUGGGAGGCUUGAGUGUGGUAGGGGCAGAGGGAAUUCCCGGUGUAGCGGUGAAAUGCGUAGAUAUCGGGAAGAACACCAGUGGCGAAGGCGCUCUGCUGGGCCAUAACUGACGCUCAUGGACGAAAGCCAGGGGAGCG
rnacentral:rRNA from 1 species